UACGGAGGGUGCAAGCGUUGCUCGGAAUUAUUGGGCGUAAAGGGUAGGUAGGUGGUCUCGUUUGUCUGGGGUGAAAGCCUUGAGCUUAACUCAAGAAGUGCCCCAGAAACGGCGAGACUCGAGUACUGGAGAGGGUCGUGGAAUUCCCGGUGUAGCGGUGAAAUGCGUAGAGAUCGGAGGACACCAGAGGCGAAGGCGGCGACCUGGGUAGAUACUGACGUGAGGUGCGAAAGCGUGGGGAGCAAACAGG
rnacentral:rRNA from 1 species